UAAAUAAAAGGGCAAACUUAUCGAAAGAUAAGGGCGCAAAGCCAAGGGUCUUCAUCAAUUGAUUGAUAUGACAGCCGGUUGCAGAG
rfam:Alkaliphilus metalliredigens QYMF, complete genome.